UACGUAGGGUGCAAGCGUUGGCCGGAAUUAUUGGGCGUAAAGAGCUCGUAGGCGGUUUGUUGCGUCGGCUGUGAAAUCCCGAGGCUCAACCUCGGGUCUGCAGUCGAUACGAGCAAACUAGAGUGUUGCAGGGGAGACUGGAAUUCCUGGUGUAGCGGUGAAAUGCGCAGAUAUCAGGAGGAACACCGGUGGCGAAGGCGGGUCUCUGGGCAACAACUGACGCUGAGGAGCGAAAGCGUGGGGAGCGAACAGG
rnacentral:rRNA from 1 species